rnacentral:lncRNA from 1 species
CCUGAGAGGGUCCCUCUCCGUGCACAGAACGAAAGUUUGUGACAGUAGUAACACUAACACCACGCUUGCGAAUACAUCGAUGCGUAGUCCGUGCAUGAUUAAUCGACAGAGAGCUAGCGUAAGGAUCGGAGAAGAAAUUUGGUGAAAUCUAUAUAUACCAGCCGAAGUCGCGGUGAUCUCGUCGUCCUCGCAGUCCGCGACGUGCAGCGCCACCGUGGUGGUGGAUCCCGGCUGCGAGGCGUAGAA